UUAGUGGCGAACGGGUGAGUAACACGUGAGUAACCUGCCCUUGACUCUGGGAUAAGCGUUGGAAACGACGUCUAAUACCGGAUACGACCAGCCUCGGCAUCGAGUGUUGGUGGAAAGAAUUUUGGUCAAGGAUGGACUCGCGGCCUAUCAGGUAGUUGGUGAGGUAAUGGCUCACCAAGCCUACGACGGGUAGCCGGCCUGAGAGGGUGACCGGCCACACUGGGACUGAGACACGGCCCAGACUCCUACGGGAGGCAGCAGUGGGGAAUAUUGCACAAUGGGCGAAAGCCUGAUGCAGCAACGCCGCGUGAGGGACGACGGCCUUCGGGUUGUAAACCUCUUUUAGCAGGGAAGAAGCGAAAGUGACGGUACCUGCAGAAAAAGCACCGGCUAACUACGUGCCAGCAGCCGCGGUAAUACGUAGGGUGCAAGCGUUGUCCGGAAUUAUUGGGCGUAAAGAGCUCGUAGGCGGUUUGUCGCGUCUGCUGUGAAAACCCGAGGCUCAACCUCGGGCCUGCAGUGGGUACGGGCAGACUAGAGUGCGGUAGGGGAGAUUGGAAUUCCUGGUGUAGCGGUGGAAUGCGCAGAUAUCAGGAGGAACACCGAUGGCGAAGGCAGAUCUCUGGGCCGUUACUGACGCUGAGGAGCGAAAGGGUGGGGAGCAAACAGGCUUAGAUACCCUGGUAGUCCACCCCGUAAACGUUGGGAACUAGAUGUGGGGACCAUUCCACGGUCUCCGUGUCGCAGCUAACGCAUUAAGUUCCCCGCCUGGGGAGUACGGCCGCAAGGCUAAAACUCAAAGGAAUUGACGGGGCCCGCACAAGCGGCGGAGCAUGCGGAUUAAUUCGAUGCAACGCGAAGAACCUUACCAAGGCUUGACAUAUACCGGAAACGGCGAGAGAUCGUCGCCCCGCAAGGUCGGUAUACAGGUGGUGCAUGGUUGUCGUCAGCUCGUGUCGUGAGAUGUUGGGUUAAGUCCCGCAACGAGCGCAACCCUCGUUCUAUGUUGCCAGCACGUAAUGGUGGGAACUCAUGGGAUACUGCCGGGGUCAACUCGGAGGAAGGUGGGGACGACGUCAAAUCAUCAUGCCCCUUAUGUCUUGGGCUUCACGCAUGCUACAAUGGCCAGUACAAAGGGCUGCAAUACCGUAAGGUGGAGCGAAUCCCAAAAAGCUGGUCCCAGUUCGGAUUGAGGUCUGCAACUCGACCUCAUGAAGUCGGAGUCGCUAGUAAUCGCAGAUCAGCAACGCUGCGGUGAAUACGUUCCCGGGCCUUGUACACACCGCCCGUCAAGUCAUGAAAGUCGGUAACACCCGACGCC
rnacentral:rRNA from 1 species